rnacentral:rRNA from 1 species
GACGAACGCUGGCGGCGUGCCUAAUACAUGCAAGUCGAACGCAGUGGGGACGGGUGAGUAACACGUGGGUAACCUCCCAUCAGAGGGGAUAACACUUGGAUACUGGCGCUUAACCGAUACUGAUGGAUGGACCCGCGGUGCAUUAGCGAGUUGGUGAGGUAACGGCCCACCAAGGCCACGAUGCAUAGCCGGCCUGAGAGGGUGAUCGGCCACACGGGGACUGAGACACGGCCCAGAGUCCUACGGGAGGCAGCAGUAGGGAAUCUUCGACAAUGGACGAAAGUCUGACCGAGCAACGCCGCGUGAGUGAAGAAGGUUUUCGGAUCGUAAAACUCUGUUGUUGGGGAAGCGGUAUCUGACGAGAAAGCCACGGCUAACUACGUGCCAGCAGCCGCGGUAAUAC